UUAUUCAAGCAUGCAAUACUAAGCUUCUAUCGCUAUAAGAGCGAAACAAGUUACCCCGCAAAACCGUCUGUUGUGAAUUCUCAACAAAAGAUGAAGAUCAUUCUACUGUUUAGCGUCAUUGCUAUGGCAACCAUGGUGUCUGCUAAAUCUAUAGCUACUUUUCAAGCUGACAUCUAUGCAGUGUGCGGAGUCAAAGGUCAGAUAUACAAGAAUUGCGCGUGGGCACCGUCACCCUGCAAACCUGAUACCUGCGACACUCCCAUUAAGUACCUUAACAGCUGCCCGUUGCAUCAAUGUGUGGCACAAUGUGAGUGUCCUGUAGGAGAGGUGAUUGAUAAGAAGAAGAAUGAGUGUGUCCUACCUGAACAGUGCCCAGAUGUAUGUGUCCACCGUGGUCAAGAACACAAUGUUGGAGACUGGUGGAUGCAGGGAUGCAGUUUUUGUGAUUGUGUUUCGCGUGCGACUGUAACUUGCGUCACAAAAUGUGGAUAGUAAGUUAAUGGAAUUCUAGAAUGGAAAGACACAAUGAACUAUAAUUAACUUGAAACUGUGACUAUACAUAAAGUUACGUAGCAUACCAGUUUAGUAUACCUUUCGUAGAUUGAGACAGUGUCGUGAGAAUAAUUAUUUUCUGCAUGAUAUAUAAUUAUAGUGAAUGUCAAGUGUUUUUUUGUGUACAGCCAUGCAUGAGAAGUUAAUUAAGUUGG